UUAGUGCAUGCUCGGACGGGGCUGAAAACUUCGAUGAUGGUAGAAAUCAACUGACGAUCUCAUUAUUCAGUUAGUUUUAAAUAAUUAAUGAACCAAAGAGCCUACUGUAACACUAUGUUCGCUCGUAACAGAACAAUUGGUUUUUAAAAUAUGCUAGGGAACUGAUAUUGUGUUGCAAUCGAAUUACAAUUCAACAGCUGAAUAGAUUGUUCAACACACGAUAUGGAAAACGAGAGGAAAUAACAUACUGACUUCUAUAAAAACAUGGUCCUAGUGAAGCUUGUUAAUCGUCGUAGCAAACUUUUAAAAUUGUUUGGUAUACGUUUGUUUACAUUGUUUUGCAAUAUUGUUAUAUCGUAUUUUUACAUCGCAAGUUGGAUUUUGUUAUUGUAUAUUCCAAAGUGCAUUGCAGUAAGGCAUAAUGAAAGAAAACAGAUAUAGAAAAAAAGAUAAAGAAAACAGAUAUACAUGAGAACAAGAAAAGCAAUAUUCAGUUAAUUCUGUUGCGAAUUAUCUAUAUGGAAAUUCAGGUUGCUACUUUCUUUGUUUAGCUGCAACGACAAAACUUGAGUACAGUGGUAUCAAAUAUACAUCUACCAUACCUGUCGCUGAAGAAACUUAAUUAAGUCCAAGAUUUUAUGUAAUAUUUAAGACGUAAAUGUAAAACAAAAUAAUUUGA